UACGUAGGUGACAAGCGUUGUCCGGAUUUACUGGGCGUAAAGAGCGCGCAGGCGGUCGGUCAAGUCGAGUGUGAAAGCCCCCGGCUCAACUGGGGAGGGUCAUUCGAUACUGAUCGACUCGAAGGCAGGAGAGGGUAGUGGAAUUCCCGGUGUAGUGGUGAAAUGCGUAGAUAUCGGGAGGAACACCAAUGGCGAAGGCGACUACCUGGCCUGUUCUUGACGCUGAGGCGCGAAAGCUAGGGGAGCAAACGGG
rnacentral:rRNA from 1 species